rnacentral:rRNA from 1 species
AAAAGUUAAUUUAUUCAAUAAUAAUAAAAUAAAAAAAAUUAAAAAAAAUAAUUUAUAUAAAAAGAUAAUUUUUAAUGGUGAAAUAUAAAAAAUUAUAAAUUUAUAUAAUUUAAAAUAAUAUAAUUUAAAAAUUUAUAAAAUAAACUAGGAUUAGAUACCCUAUUAUAGUAAAAUAAAAAUUUUAAUAUUAAAGUAUUAAAUGUUAAAUCAUUAAAUUUAUAAGAUUUGGCGGUAUUUUAUACAAAUUAGGGGAACUUGUUUAGUAAUUGAUGAACCACGAUAAGAUUUACUUAAUUUAAUAUUUAUGUAUUGCUGUUUAAAAAUCUAUUUUAAGAAUAUAAGUUAAAAUUUAAAAGUAUAAAAUAAUUCAAGUCAAAAUAUAGUUUAGUUAAGAUAAAAUGAGUUACAAAAAAAUAAAUUUAUAUGAAUUUUUAUAUUUAAUAAUAAAAUGAAGGUGGAUUUAAAAGUAAAUUUAAUAAAUAAAUUAAUUUGAAAUUUUGUUUUAAAAU